rnacentral:rRNA from 1 species
UACGUAGGCAGCAAGCGUUGUUCGGAGUUACUGGGCGUAAAGGGUGUGUAGGCGGUUGUUUAAGUUUGGUGUGAAAUCUCCCGGCUCAACUGGGAGGGUGCGCCGAAUACUGAAUGACUAGAGUGCGGGAGAGGAGAGUGGAAUUCCUGGUGUAGCGGUGAAAUGCGUAGAUAUUGGGAAGAACACCAGUGGCGUAGGCGACUAGCUGGGCCAUAACUGACGCUGAGGAACGAAAGCCAGGGGAGCGAAUGGG